rnacentral:rRNA from 1 species
CCUACGGGAGGCAGCAGUGGGGGAUAUUGCACAAUGGGGGGAACCCUGAUGCAGCGACGCCGCGUGGGUGAAGACGCGCCUCGGCGCGUAAAGCCCUGUCAGCAGGGAAGAAAAUGACGGUACCUGACGAAGAAGCCCCGGCUAACUACGUGCCAGCAGCCGCGGUAAUACGUAGGGGGCAAGCGUUAUCCGGAUUUACUGGGUGUAAAGGGGGCGCAGACGGCGAUGCAAGCCAGGAGUGAAAGCCCGGGGCCCAACCCCGGGAAUGCUCUUGGAACUGCGGGGCUGGAGUGCAGGAGGGGCAGGCGGAAUUCCUGGUGUAGCGGUGAAAUGCGUAGAUAUCAGGAGGAACACCGGUGGCGAAGGCGGCCUGCUGGACUGUAACUGACGUUGAGGCCCGAAAGCGUGGGGAGCAAACAGGAUUAGAUACCCCUGUAGUC